UUGAAAGGGAAACGAUUGAAGUCAGUCGUACCUGCGGGUAAUCAGCCUUUUGGGUGUGAUUAUGUGGAGCGUGAGGAGUUAAUCACCCUCAUCUUUGCAUAUUCGUGCACUUUGGGUGUACUUGCUCGUGUGGUAGGUUAACAUCAAUUUUGAUCAUCAUAAAAUGAUUGGAGGAAUGUAGCUUCGAUCCCGUAUUGAAGUGUUAUAGCCUUUGGUAGAUGUGAUGAUCGGGAUUGAGGAUUGCAACGGAUACCCUUCGGGGCUACCCGUCUGAUCUCUGAAAGUUGCUCUGGUGCUGAAAGCUUGCUUAUGGUAUCAAAGUUGACGUUCAAUAGGUUAGAACGGGAUAAAUUCGUUAAGGAUGUUGACGUA
rnacentral:rRNA from 1 species